GUGACAUGUACUGUCUUAAGAAAAAAAGUUUUUUGGCUAUUUACAACUGCCAAAAAGUAUUUUGAGUUUACCAAUGAUCAGCAAAAAGUUAGUCACUUGAUUUUUUAACAACUACCUUCAAUUGUGAGCUUUAGAAAAAUAGCAGAAAAGACCAGAGAUGAAACUUCUAGGAGGUGAAAAGACUACAGCCUAAAUAUCUAGAAAAGACUACAGCUGAAAUAUCCAGAAAAGACUAAUGCUGAAAUAUCCAGAAAAGACUACAGCUGAAAUAUCCAGAAAAGACUAAUGCUGAAAUAUCCAGGAUGUGAAACAUGCAGAUAUCCACGGUUUUGUGCCUUAAAAAUAGCCGAAAAGACCAGAGAUGAAACUUCUAGGAGGUGAAAGACUACAGCCUAAAUAUCUAGAAAAGACUACAGCUGAAAUAUCCAGAAAAGACUAAUGCUGAAAUAUCCAGAAAAGACUACAGCUGAAAUAUCCAGAAAAGACUAAUGCUGAAAUAUCCAGAAAAGACUAAUGCUGAAAUAUCCAGAAAAGACUAAUGCUGAAAUAUCCAGAAAAGACUAAUGCUGAAAUAUCCAGAAAAGACUACAGCUGAAAUAUCCAGAAAAGACUAAUGCUGAAAUAUCCAGGAUAUGAAACAUGCAGAUAUCCACGGUUUUGUGCCUUGUAAGUUUAAAACAAUCUCUUAUAAUUCUAAGUACAUUGUCAAUUUGUAUUACCUGAGGUAUAAAACAAGAAUGAUCUUUAAUAAUUAA